UACGUAGGGUGCAAGCGUUAAUCGGAAUUACUGGGCGUAAAGCGUGCGCAGGCGGUUAUGUAAGACAGGGGUGAAAUCCCCGGGCUUAACCUGGGAACUGCAUUUGUGACUGCAUAGCUAGAGUACGGCAGAGGGGGAUGGAAUUCCGCGUGUAGCAGUGAAAUGCGUAGAUAUGCGGAGGAACACCGAUGGCGAAGGCAAUACCCUGGGCCUGUACUGACGCUCAUGCACGAAAGCGUGGGGAGCAAACAGG
rnacentral:rRNA from 1 species